GGUGAUGAAUGUUGUAUCUUCUUACGGUCCAAAUUCGCUUGGCGUGGUCUAUGAUAGAGGACUCAUUGGAACCUACCACGACUGGUGCGAGGCAUUUUCAACGUAUCCCCGGACAUACGACUUGCUGCAUCUUGAUGGGCUAUUUACUGCUGAAAGUCAAAGAUGUGAAAUGAAGUAUGUGUUCCUCGAAAUGGAUCGCAUUCUUCGCCCAACCGGAUAUGUCAUAAUUCGGGAGUCCAACUAUUUCAUGGACGCCAUAGCCACCAUUGCUGAAGGGCUGAGAUGGGACUGCGAGAAGUAUGACACCGAGUACAGUGCAGAGAAGGAGAAGCUUUUGAUAUGCCAGAAGAAACUUUGGUUCUCAAAGCAAAGUCAGUAAUGAAGGAAAUGGCCAUACUGCAGAUCCCAAAUAUACAAAUCCAAGAAAAAGAAUAAAAAUUGCAGAAGAAUUUUCACAGACAAAAAUACUCCUAGAGCAGACACACAUUCUUCGACUCUGGCUCGCCUUAAUGGUCGCGGUUUUAU
rnacentral:misc_RNA from 1 species